rfam:Schistosoma rodhaini strain Burundi genome assembly, scaffold: SROB_scaffold0007492
GCACUUCUGAUGAGUCCCACCAUAGGACGAAACGGCCGUUCAGUGC